AAAACUCACACUUUUUUUUGUCUUUUUGCAGCUUGAACCACUCUACCAGGCAGCGUUCGCUUCUUACUGCAGUUUCAUUGUGAUUUCAUUCAGCAAUGGAUCAAUCAUCAACAACAUUGACCUUGGAUUUGCAACAGCAUCCCAACCUAGUAGCACCCAAAUCAAAGAUGUUUUGGUGAAAGCAAAUUCAACCGUCACAGCUUUCAACAUUGACAUCAAUUCAAUUUUUGUGGAUGGCACACAAACGUCGAGUGGAGCAAGCCAUAAAAUCAGCCUCAUCACUGCAUUCAGCAUGGUCCUGUUGUCAUGGCUUCUUUCAACACAACAAUAACGUCUCUGCUGGCUUCCAGAGGAAAAUCUGCAUGAAAAUGUAAAUUAUUGCUUGUGUGAACAAGAAUGUUGUUCUAAUUCCGGACCA